UACGGAGGGUGCAAGCGUUAUCCGGAUUCACUGGGUUUAAAGGGUGCGUAGGUGGAUUAGUAAGUCAGUGGUGAAAUCUCUGGGCUUAACUCAGAAACUGCCAUUGAUACUAUUAAUCUUGAAUACCGUGGAGGUCAGCGGAAUAUGUCAUGUAGCGGUGAAAUGCUUAGAUAUGACAUAGAACACCAAUUGCGAAGGCAGCUGGCUACACGAAUAUUGACACUGAGGCACGAAAGCGUGGGGAUCAAACAGG
rnacentral:rRNA from 2 species